CUUCUCCUCUCCAACCCCAUGCCCCACCCCCCGCAACCUUCCCUUGUCUCUCAUUCUCUUUCUUUUCUGUCUCUUACUCUGUUCUUUCCUUAUAUUUAAGUUUGGCAUUACCAGGAAACAAAUCUUCAAGGUGUAAAAUAUCUACCUGCCCUCUCAGUUAAUUCAGAUUGACGAGGUAGCUUGCAGAUUGGGUUAAGGUGAUAUAUGCCCUCAUUUGUGGCCCCAGCCUGGUCUCCUCCGGGAUAGGGCACAUCUGACUAGAGAUUUACGCUACUCCCCUGCAUGUGUUGUAAAAUAGCAGAUCACUCAAAAGAGUGCAUCAAAGAGUUUCCCUGGGAUAUGACGAGGAAGGUCUCUGGUGCCUAUUCAUUCAUGCAGUGAGACAUGGAGUCGAGCCCUCCGUUUUACACAUCUCAAUAAAUUUCAUCCACGGGGCGAGGUGCUUGCCCUCUGUGGGCGUUGCAGUUAUAGGACCCAGGUUGAAGUCACUAUCUUUGGGAUAUUCAGAAAGUGUUUAUGAAUGUGGGUGCCAGUGGACAAAAGCUCCAUUCAAUAACUAUUUGAACUCACCGAAAGAAUGUGAAAUUAUUUGACUUUGGUUAGCUAAGUGAUUCAAGACAAAAAAUAAAAUAAAAUAUAGUCGUUUCCAAAAGAGCUUGCCAAGCUAGUCUGACUAGUUUUCAGUCUUGCCGUGACUCGGGUGAUGCUCUGAUUCAAAAGAGUCCUAAGGGCAGUUGAAAGUUAAAUGUUUACACAGAUGGUGAGCUUUGUCUAUCAUUUCUUGUCAGUGGAUGGCUAUGAAGUAAAAAAAUAUAAACAGUAGAUACCUAAUAAAUGUUUCAUUGAUAUUGCAUUACAACAGAGUCAAUUAAUAACAUCUUGUUUCUAGAUUUUAUGGCCAACCUGUAUUUAUGCAAAUGUCAUCCUUUAAUUCAAAAUGGAGUAAAAUGCACCUCAGAGAGCUUCUGGAUGUAGUGUCAUCUAGAAGUCAAAACUUGGUCAGGCUACUAUUUGAUUUUGACAAAAUGCAGUCUGGACGAUAAUAACAAAACAGCAGAACCCCCUACACUGUGUAGUGUUUGGGGCAUUCACGGCACUUUCAUGAAUUAUCUCAUUUAAUUCUCAUCUACCAUGAGAGCUUGAAUAUUAUAAUUUACACUUUACAGAUGGAAAACUAGGGUUUGGGCAAGCUGAGUAAUAUCCUUGAGGCCGCAAGUCCAGUUAAUUACAGAUCCUGGUCUCAAAUCCACGUGCAAAAUAAAAGAAAGCGAAGGAUAUUUAGCGACAUGUAAAAAUUACAUCAAAUUCAAAUUUAUGUAUCCAUAAAUAAAGUUUUCUAGGAACACAGGCACACCCAUUUGCUUAUGUGUUGCUAUGACCCCUUUCACAAUACACAGCAGAGUUGAGUUAAUUAGCCAGAGGGCCCAUAGCCAGAAGACUAAAGUAUCUACUAUCUGACCCUUUACAGGAGAAGCUUGCCAAUCCCAGCACUGUCCUAUUAAAUACUAUUAGUACCAUUAAAUACUAUUGCAUAUUGUACUGUACUGUUCAAAGAUUCCUGGGCAACGUAGAAUAAUGAUGAUCUUUUCCAGGGUAAAUC
rnacentral:lncRNA from 1 species